UGGGGAAUCUUGCGCAAUGGGCGAAAGCCUGACGCAGCAACGCCGCGUGGGGGAUGAAGCUUCUCGGAGUGUAAACCCCUUUCGACCCGGAAGAAUGCCCGCAAGGGCUUGACGGUACGGGUAUAAGAAGCCCCGGCUAACUACGUGCCAGCAGCCGCGGUAAAACGUAGGGGGCCAGCGUUGCUCGGAAUUACUGGGCGUAAAGGGUCUGUAGGCGGUGCGGCAAGUCGGAAGUGAAAUUUCAGGGCUUAACCCUGAAACUGCUCCCGAAACUGCUGUGCUCGAGUGCGAGAGAGGCGAGUGGAAUUGCAGGUGUAGCGGUGAAAUGCGUAGAUAUCUGCAGGAACAUCCGAGGCGAAAGCGGCUCGCUGGAUCGCAACUGACGCUGAGAGACGAAAGCUAGGGGAGCAAACAGGAUUAGAUACCCUGGUAGUCCUAGCCCUAAACGAUCAGGACUGGGCGUGGGCCCUGUACGGGGCUCGUGCCGGAGCUAACGCGUUAAGUCCUGCGCCUGGGGAGUACGGUCGCAAGGCUG
rnacentral:rRNA from 1 species